rnacentral:rRNA from 1 species
GAUGAACGCUGGCGGCGUGCCUAAUACAUGCAAGUCGAGCGAACCACUUCGGUGGUGAGCGGCGAACGGGUGAGUAACACGUAGGUGAUCUGCCCAUCAGACGGGGACAACGAUUGGAAACGAUCGCUAAUACCGGAUAGGACGAAAGUUUAAAGGUGCUUCUGGCACCGCUGAUGGAUGAGCCUGCGGCGCAUUAGCUAGUUGGUAGGGUAAAGGCCUACCAAGGCGACGAUGCGUAGCCGACCUGAGAAGGUGAACGGCCACACUGGGACUGAGACACGGCCCAGACUCCUACGGGAGGCAGCAGUAGGGAAUCUUCGGCAAUGGGCGAAAGCCUGACCGAGCAACGCCGCGUGAAUGAUGAAGGCCUCGGGUUGUAAA